GGAAAAUCGUCCGUUCACCGCCACCUGUCAUUCUCCGUCCUCAAAUAAAAAACACCCAAAACUGUUUUCUCUUUCCCCUUGCAUUUUCCCGAGAAAAUUAACCUCGUAAGCAAAUUUCCCCAAGAAAAAUGAUUCGAUCCUCGUGAAAAAAGAACUCUAACCGGGCGUGAAGCAGUACCAUGAGGUCGAUCUAUGACCUCUUUUUUAACUUACAAAAUCGAAAGCUUUCCUCUUCAAUUCUUUCAUGGAUAAUCGAGAACAACAAGAUCGAGACAGAACCCUAAUUACCGGCCCGAAACAAAUCAAUGCCGCACAUGAUAAGUGCAAGUAAUUGAAUGGAAGAUCGAGACAGAACCCUAAUUACCGGCCCGAAACAAAUCAAUGCCGCACAUGAUAAGUGCAAGUAAUUGAAUGGGAAGAUUCGAGAACGAGCUAGCUAGAUUGUGGAGUUUAAGUUCUGCCCUUAAGGAAGCUAAUGAGAAGAAGCAAAGUCUUCAAGAGAACUCCUGUCGCUCAUUCAGGUCAAAACUAAGUCUUGAAUAAACUGAAUGGGCUUGAGGAAAUGCAUGAGAGACUAGAGGCAAGGAAACUAGUGAUGGCAAACAUGUCAACUCGUAGCAAACGUACGGCGGAGGAUGCUAAAAAAGAAGAGGAAAUGCUUAGCACUGAAGUGAGAUCGUUGUUGGUUGCUGGUACCUCUCUUUCUGUAGCAAGGAAGCGAUUGCAGGAAGCAAAUAGAUUACUCACUGAAGAAGGGGUUAUGUUAAACUUAAAAAUGUGCAAAGGAAGCUUCGAGCAAGGCAACAAUAUAUGAUAUCACAAGUUUCAUUACUCUAUCCUGUAAAGGUCUUGGUUGGACCUGCACAAGAGCAAGAACUUGAGUCCUAUUCUAGCAGUAGUAGAUUAGGGAAUUCUUCUGCAUCUAAGCCUGUUAGUCAAGGUCCUUGACGAUUUUAGGUCUGAAUC